UACGGGGGGUGCGAGCGUUGUCCGGAAUCACUGGGCGUAAAGGGCGCGUAGGUGGUCUGAUAAGGGUGUGGUGAAAGCCCGGGGCUCAACCCCGGGUCGGCCGUGCCGACUGUUAGACUAGAGUACUGUAGGGGCAGGCGGAAUUCCGGGUGUAGCGGUGGAAUGCGUAGAUAUCUGGAGGAACACCGGUGGCGAAGGCGGCGUUCUGGACUGCAACUGACACUGAUGAACGAAAGCCAGGGGAGCAAACGGG
rnacentral:rRNA from 1 species